GUCACGCCCGAAGUCGUUACCCUAACCGCAAGGAGGGGGAUGCCGAAGGCAGGGCUAGUGACUGGGGUGAAGUCGUAACAAGGUAGCCGUACCGGAAGGUGUGGCUGGAUCACCUCCUUUUAGGGAGACCUUUUGCCAGCAGCAACCCAAAAUAAAACGCUGUCUGUGCGAACAAUCCCAAGGUCGUGCCAGAAAAGAGUAAGCUUUCCAACUAACGAAGGGUUCGAAUUCUAACCAGAACUUAAAAAAGCACCUUGAAAACUGCAUAGAAAAUAGAUAGAGAAAUAUCAGAAAAUCUGAUAACCAGGUGAAAAAUCCAGGUCAAGCUACAAAGAGCUAACGGUGGAUACCUAGGCACACAGAGG
rnacentral:misc_RNA from 1 species